rnacentral:ncRNA from 1 species
AAUUGUCUUCAGGGCAGGGUGUAAUUCCCGACCGGCGGUGUUGCCUCUAGUUGUCUGCCUUUUGCUUUUAUUUGUCGUUGACUUCCCUUGCCUAAUGUCAGUUGUGUCUGCGGGUUGUCGCCUAGACUAAAAGCAAAAGAUUAAACAACUUAGUUAGUUUAGAAAACGAACGAGAGUGAUUUAAAGUCCGCGAGCUGCAGAGCAGCUGAUCUGGUGAGAUUCCAGAACCGACAGUAUAGUCUGGAUGGGAGAAGACCAAG